rnacentral:lncRNA from 1 species
CCUGAGGAUUGGGAAGGAACUAUACAUACCAGGAGGCAAGGAGCACUGGGGGCCCUCCUGGAACUGCCUGUCACAGCGUCCUCAAAGGUGGCAAAGAGAAAGGAGGAGUAAGGAGGAGGAAGAACAAUUUUUAAGAAAGGAAGCAAACAGAGGGACCAAGCACAUAAUUAAGAAAGAAAAAAAAGAUUUUAGUCCACUGAAAAUAAAAUUUCCAAAAACAGAAUUCAAGGAGAAAGAAC